rnacentral:rRNA from 1 species
CCUACGGGCGGCAGCAGUUGGGAAUCUUGGACAAUGGGGGAAACCCUGAUCCAGCCAUGCCGCGUGAGUGAUGAAGGCCUUCGGGUUGUAAAACUCUUUCGACGGGGACGAUAAUGACGGUACCCGUAGAAGAAGCUCCGGCUAACUUCGUGCCAGCAGCCGCGGUAAUACGAAGGGGGCGAGCGUUAAUCGGAAUUACUGGGCGUAAAGCGUGCGUAGGCGGUUAUUUAAGUCAGAUGUGAAAGCCCCGGGCUUAACCUGGGAACGGCAUUUGAUACUGGGUAACUUGAGUUUAGGAGAGGAGAGUGGAAUUUCCGGUGUAGCGGUGAAAUGCGUAGAUAUCGGGAGGAACACCAGUGGCGAAGGCGAUCACCUGGGGUUGUUCUGACGCUGAGGAGCGAAAGCUAGGGGAGCAAACGGGAUUAGAUACCCCAGUAGUC